GCCACGCCCACAAAACUCCAUAAAAGGCAAAGCUCACGGAGAGGCGACUGAAAAACGACGAGUAAAUGGCGAUCGUUUUUAUGCCAUGGUCACUAGAUUUCUCCAGUCUCAGAAUUAUUCACCCCCUUCAUGGGCAUGUUUAGUACUCAGUAGAGCUCCUUUUGCUGGUAUGACCUGCUGCAAACGAGAUGCAGAUCUUCUGGCAGCGUUCCUGAGGAAUCUUCUCCCGUUCCUCAUGAGCAGUGUCCUCCAGUUCAGUAAUAUUCUUGGGUUUGCGUGCUGCAACCGCCUUCUUCAAAUCCCACCAGAGAUCUUCUAUCUCUGGGUUCUAGUCCGGAGACUGUGAUGACCCUGUAGAAUCUUCCAGGACUUCUUCUGCAACCCAGCCUCGGUGGAAUUUGAGGUUUCCAGUGCCAGAGGAUGCAGAGCAGCCCCACAGCAUCACCGAGCCUCCACCAUGCUCGACUGUGGACAGAGUGUUCUUUCUUCAUUCUUCUUCCUCCAGACGUACCGCUGAUCCCUCGUGCUGAAAAGUCCCAGAUUUGUUUCCUCGCUCCACAGAACAGAAUCCUAGAUCUUCCGUGGAUUUUUUUAUCUGAUUUUGAGCCACAAACCACUCGAAGCAGUCGUUGUGUCGAACUAUUUCAGCUGCUUUUGUUUGAUGUGUUCAUCGCAAACAUCUGAACAUUUUGACAAUAAACCUGAUUUGCCUAGUAGACCUAGUAGAUUUAAGAAUAGUUUCUUCCCGAAAGCUAUUACCAUGAUAAACAAACACAUGCACUGAGUCCACAGCAUAUGUAUA
ensembl:lncRNA